CUCAGCUCGUCGAGCAUCCCCAUGCCUGGCCCCAAGGCUGGACAUGGCCCUGUGACCUCCUCCGUCUGGACCCUGGGACCACGGGAGGACACACCAUGACCCCCACCCUCACGGCCCUGCUCUGCCUGGGUGAGAUGUGAAGGAGGGAGGGGACACCCUGUU
rnacentral:lncRNA from 1 species